rnacentral:lncRNA from 1 species
AGACCAUGUCUGAAUAGAUACCUGAGAGUUAGACCCAUGUGCUGGGUCUGGGUGAGGCUGUGUGUAGAUCACAGCAGCGUGAGCACUGGCUGUACCUUUGCCCUGUCCUGCUGCUCUUCCUGUCUGCUGUGUCAGGACACUGAGCAGAAGUGGCGGUGGAAUGCACACAGCACAGCGUGUCACAGUGCGCAUGGGCUCCCCACUGGAAGGGAUGUAGCAUUGUUUUUCUUUCGUAAUGGAGAGAAGAGGGGAAGAAAAGGCCCAGGCACUGGUUCUCCAACUCUUGUACAUCCGGUCACUGUCCUGAGAUUCAGAAGGUCUGGGAUGUUCUGAGAAUUUGCAUUUCUGACAAGUUUGCAGAGAGUAAUGCUGAUGCUGCUGGUUCAGGGACCCACUCGGAGAGUCAGUGGCCUGGAGCACUGGAGGGCUCCGUGGAGCUGGGAGGGUGGAGGGAUGACGGCCUCGGGGUGGCACAAGGAGGUGCCGGGUGAAGAGGAGGUGCCAGAGGCAGGAUGGAGCAGCUCACAGUGGUACCUGGGAUGGCCCCGUGGCUUCUGCCAAGCCAAAUUCUCCUGUUUCAUAAGAAUUGCUCACUGCAUUUGUUUGUAGAAGUCAACAUUAAUUAAUCUUCUCAACUGAAAUGAAAAUACUUUAUGGGAAUACACUGAGAACCCCCCGCCCCCGCCUGCCAGCACAUCAGAUGGAUUGAAGCAUUUGAAGGCAGAAUAUAGUUCACAGAAAAAGCAAACCUAAUUAUAACCUAAAGAUCAUACAUCAGGGCAGCUGGGACGAUGAAAGCAUCCCAAGACCUCCCUUUUCCAUCUGUGGCUGAUCACCUCUGGAACCCACAGCUAGCUGGCUGCUCCUCCACUAUCAGAUGGCGGCUGUCAGUCAUGGGCUUGUCACCGAGUGCGUCUGUCAUGCUCGGGCCAUGGGCCGGCACCUGUGUGUGUGUGUCCAGCUUAACGACAGAGAUUUUUGGAAAGACGCCCUAAGAUAGACAUACUUGAAACUGAGUGAGAAUAAGUUUGACUUAUUUCUUUUUGAGAUACUUUAUAUGUUUGAAAUAAUUGAUAGCUGGCACCAGUGAAUCUAGUUUCUG